rnacentral:rRNA from 1 species
ACGGGUGAGUAACGCGUGGGAACAUACCCUUUUCUACGGAAUAGCUCUGGGAAACUGGAAUUAAUACCGUAUACGCCCUACGGGGAAAGAUUUAUCGGGGAAGGAUUGGCCCGCGUUGGAUUAGCUAGUUGGUGGGGUAAAGGCCUACCAAGGCGACGAUCCAUAGCUGGUCUGAGAGGAUGAUCAGCCACAUUGGGACUGAGACACGGCCCAAACUCCUACGGGAGGCAGCAGUGGGGAAUAUUGGACAAUGGGCGCAAGCCUGAUCCAGCCAUGCCGCGUGAGUGAUGAAGGCCUUAGGGUUGUAAAGCUCUUUCACCGAUGAAGAUAAUGACGGUAGUCGGAGAAGAAGCCCCGGCUAACUUCGUGCCAGCAGCCGCGGUAAUACGAAGGGGGCUAGCGUUGUUCGGAAUUACUGGGCGUAAAGCGCACGUAGGCGGAUAUUUAAGUCAGGGGUGAAAUCCCAGAGCUCAACUCUGGAACUGCCUUUGAUACUGGGUAUCUUGAGUAUGGAAGAGGUAAGUGGAAUUGCGAGUGUAGAGGUGAAAUUCGUAGA